GAGUUUGAUCAUGGCUCAGGGCGAACGCUGGCGGCGUGCCUAAUACAUGCAAGUCGAACGGUCUUUUCUAUGGAAGCUUGCUUCCACUGAGAAGAUAGUGGCGAACGGGUGAGUAACACGUGGGUAACCUGCCCAUAAGAGGGGGAUAACAUCCGGAAACGGGUGCUAAUACCGCAUAGUUUUCUUGAUCGCAUGAUCGGGAAAGGAAAGACGGCCUUUGUGCUGUCGCUUAUGGAUGGACCCGCGGCGUAUUAGUUAGUUGGCGAGGUAACGGCUCACCAAGGCGAUGAUACGUAGCCGACCUGAGAGGGUGAUCGGCCACAUUGGGACUGAGACACGGCCCAAACUCCUACGGGAGGCAGCAGUAGGGAAUCUUCCGCAAUGGACGAAAGUCUGACGGAGCAACGCCGCGUGAGUGAAGAAGGUUUUCGGAUCGUAAAACUCUGUUGUCAGAGAAGAACAAGUUGGAGAGUAACUGCUCCAGCCUUGACGGUAUCUGACCAGAAAGCCACGGCUAACUACGUGCCAGCAGCCGCGGUAAUACGUAGGGUGGCAAGCGUUGUCCGGAUUUAUUGGGCGUAAAGCGAGCGCAGGCGGUUCCUUAAGUCUGAUGUGAAAGC
rnacentral:rRNA from 1 species